UUCUCUUGCCUUUCCUUUUUUUUUCCCAGACAGAUCAUGAUCUGGGACACCAAACCGGUUUUUGAAGUUCAGCAUUUUGAAACUGUAGCUGCUUUGGUUUUGAAUGGUUGCCUAGGGGCGACAUUGUGUUUUCUCUGCUCUCUCUUUUUUUUUCGGAAGGAUACGCUUAAGCUAUCUGACAGCUGAGGGUGAGACUUAACACGUCAAGGCAUUCACCUAGUGGGAACUACAAAGACACAGAUACAGACGGAAGUGGGGAGGGAGGAAGAGUGGAUGAAGAAGUAAGCUGCUGGUUCUCCUCUUUUCUCACAAGUGCUUCAUCUUUUUUGAUGCAUCGGGUGCUGUUGGCAUUGUUGUUAUUGUUGUUGUGCAUGUUUAUGUUGUUGUUUUUUUGUCUCUCAUCUCUUUUAUUUUGUUGCUGUUCCUUAUCUCUCAUGACUUUUUUUUUUUUCUCCCAAAACUCCUUCUAUAGCCCUUCACGACACACGCUCAAAAGAAACAAGACUCUCCUCUGUUAAAUCCUCUGUUAAAUAUUGACUGUGUUUUCUUGUUGACACCUCUGUGAACUUGCGCGCCCUCUCGGCUAACAAUGGCUUCAGGCUCCCUGCAUUGAUUUUACCCACAGUCACGCACUUCCAAAUGCCAGGAGGAGAACCAAAGGGACGGGAGGGGUGGUGGGGUGUUGAAAGAUCAGUGGAUAGGCUGGUUGUUGUUCUUGUUUUUGUGGCCAAAUGAUCCCCCACCAACUCCCCUUGACCUUUUGGGAUGUUAAGGCCUUACCUCCCUGGGGGUAGAUUUGGGUGGAUUGGGGGGUCGUUUGACGAGAGGAGGAGAUCUGACACUGACUGCCAUGACAAUUACCAGCUCCCCUUCCUUCAUCUGAUACGCAUUCGACUGUCAAUCAAGCUGGCCGGCCGAGUAAGGAGAAAGCUUGAGAUAUUUCAGAAGUUUGGAAGUUCCUACAUUUUAUACAUUCCACAUUCCAAAACUACACACCAGCUACAGCAAUUAAUCUACUUUUAUUAGACUUAAUGGAAUGAGUGAUAAUUGUGGGACCUGAACCCACCAGAUGCAAGUGCUCAAUAUCAUCAAUCAUUCGGUGUAUGAAUUACAUAUUUUUUGUUUGUAUCUAAAAUUGUUGCACAUUUACAUAUGAAAACAUUAUUGCAGAUUUCAAAUAUCCUCAAGGUCUGAGGUCAGAGUUUGCAUAGCUAAGUGAGCAGUUGAAAACGCUGUGCGCAUGUUAGCUACUUCGGAAAUGAACUGUAGGACAAAAUCAUGUUGAGCCCAUGCUGAGGGCAAAUAAAUUUGCUCUGUGCAUAGGGCCAACAUGACUCUGCCCUGUGAAAAUAAAUGUGUUGUUAUAGAUGGAUGUUGUGAGGUGUAAGUGUUCACUGAUGAUACUGUGGAGUGUGUACUGGGACUGGGCGCCACACAGCCACAGCCUAAUAUAACCAACCUCAGGCAAUAUAAAGAUAGGGCCUAUACAUGAUAUUUAAUAGUGCAAACCGUACCAAAUAAUGGAUUACCUGUCUCGAAAAUAAAAAGACAUCCUUACAUUCUUAAUGUAAUUCUUUUUAUAAUGGUGUAUAACCAACAAAGUCAAAGCAUAAAAUGCUUAGCAAUGUCUUCACGAUUCAAUAUUUUUCCCCCUUUUUUCACUAUUGAUUAUAUUAGAAUUUAGUGUGUUUAAGUGUUAAUGAACCACUUAAAUCUUCUUGAUUUUGGGCAAAAGUUCAUUUCAUUUUCCAUUUAUUUUUAUGAAGCUGUUUUAUGUGAUGGAUUUCUUCUCUGUUACCCAGUGGGAAAUCUUACUGGAAAGACUGAACACCAAGUGUGCCAUCCAGUACUUUGCAACAAUUGCAUGUAUCUGGUGACAAGAAGAAGCAAGAGCCACAGGCUGUAGGAAGACUUCAGGGUUCUCUGGAAGACCAGAUUAUUGCUGCCAAACCGCUGCUGGAGGCUUAUGACAUUAUGUGACCUCAUACAGUUUAAAUUCAGCAGAAUUGGAAAACUGGCUAGUGCAGAUAUUGAGACUUACCUGCUGGAGAAGUUUGGAGUUUCAUUCCAGUUUCCAGAUGAGAGAGACUACCACGUCAGAUGAUGGCCAGCAACAUGCCUGAACUGAUUGUGGCCAAUGGCCGUCUUUCAAUCCUGGAAUAGGAGUGCAUGUUCCCCGAAGCCUCUGACACCACUUUCAAGAACAAGCUGUAUGACCAGCAUCUUGGCAAGGCCAAUGCUUUCCAGAAGCCCAAGCCUGCCAAAGGCAAGGCUGAGGCCCACUGCUCCCUGGUGCACUAUAUGCUGGCACUGUGGAGUACAACAUCGCUGGCUGGACAAGAACAAGGAUCCACUGAAUGAGUCUGUGGUGCAGCUGUAUCCGAAGUCAUCAUGUCAAACUGCUGCUGGUCCUGUACUCACCUGCCAUUGAGGGUAACCAAAUCAACAUCAAGUCUAAAAGCUGAUGAGGAAUUAUCCUUUGUAUUAUUAAUUACUUAAUUCAUCUUUUGCAUGGAGAAUGGUGGUGGUAAGAAGAAGGGUGUACCUUGAAA